rnacentral:rRNA from 1 species
CCAAUAGCGUAUAUUAAAGUUGUUGCAGUUAAAAAGCUCGUAGUUGAAUUUCGGGGUCAGUAGGUUGGUCAUGCCACUGGUAUGUACUGGUCUCACUGAUUCCUCCUUCCUGAUGAGCCGUAAUGCCAUUAAUUUGGUGUUGCGAGGAAUCUGGACUGUUACUUUGAAAAAAUUAGAGUGUUUAAAGCAGGCUAACGCUUGAAUACAUUAGCAUGGAAUAAUGAAAUAGGACGUUCGAUCUUAUUUUGUUGGUUUCUAAGAUUGACGUAAUGAUUAAUAGGGAUAGUUGGGGGCAUUAGUAUUCAAUUGUCAGAGGUGAAAUUCUUGGAUUUAUUGAAGACUAACUACUGCGAAAGCAUUUGCCAAGGAUGUUUUCAUUAAUCAAGAACGAAAGUUAGGGGAUCGAAGACGAUCAGAUACCGUCGUAGUCUUAACCAUAAACUAUGCCGACUAGGGAUCGGAUGAUGUUAAUCUUUUAAUGACUCAUUCGGCGCCUUACG